UACGGAGGGGGCUAGCGUUGUUCGGAAUUACUGGGCGUAAAGAGCGCGCAGGCGGUCGAUCAAGUCGAGUGUGAAAGCACCCGGCUCAACUGGGGAGGGUCAUUCGAAACUGAUCGACUUGAAGGCAGGAGAGGGUAGUGGAAUUCCCGGUGUAGUGGUGAAAUUCGUAGAUAUCGGGAGGAACACCAGUGGCGAAGGCGACUACCUGGCCUGUUCUUGACGCUGAGGCGCGAAAGCUAGGGUAGCAAACGGG
rnacentral:rRNA from 1 species